rnacentral:tRNA from 1 species
ACCGAAAUAGCUCAGUUGGAAGACCGUUAGACUAUAGAUCGAAAAGUCCCCUAGUUCGAUCCCGGGCUCCGGCA